rnacentral:rRNA from 1 species
AUUGAACGCUGGCGGCAGGCCUAACACAUGCAAGUCGAACGAGUGGCAGACGUGCAAGUAAUGUCUGGGACUCUGCCUGAUGAAUGGGGAUAACUACUGGAAACGUUAGCUACUACCGCAUACCAUCAGAUGUGCCCAGAUGGGAUUAGCUAGUUGGUGGGGUAACGGCUCACAAAGGCGACGCGCCCUAGCUGGUCUGCGAGGAUCACCAGCCACACUGGAACUGAGACACGGUCCAGACUCCGACGGGAGGCAGCAGUGGGGAAUAUUGCACAAUGGGCGCAAGCCUGAUGCAGCCAUGCCGCGUGUAUGAAGAAGGCCUUCGGGUUGUAAAGUACUUUCAGCGGGGAGGCGUUACCCGCAGAAGAAGCACCGGCUAACUCCGUGCCAGCAGCCGCGGUAAUUC